rnacentral:rRNA from 1 species
UAAGGAAUAUUGGUCAAUGGACGCAAGUCUGAACCAGCCAUGCCGCGUGAAGGAUGAAGGUCCUCUGGAUUGUAAACUUCUUUUAUCUGGGACGAAAACGGGAUUUUUAUCUCAAUUGACGGUACCAGAGGAAUAAGCACAGGCUAACUCCGUGCCAGCAGCCGCGGUAAUACGGAGGGUGCGAGCGUUAUCCGGAUUUACUGGGUUUAAAGGGUGCGUAGGUGGGCUUAUAAGUCAGUGGUGAAAUCUCCGAGCUUAACUUGGAAACUGCCGUUGAUACUAUAGGUCUUGAAUUAUCUGGAGGUAAGCGGAAUAUGUCAUGUAGCGGUGAAAUGCUUAGAUAUGACAUAGAACACCAAUUGCGAAGGCAGCUUACUACAUAUAAAUUGACGCUGAGGC